UCCAGGUGCGACACAACUAGGGCCUGUAGGACCUGCCUUGUUCAUAGUGUUGUUAAGAAGUUAGAAACUAGGGCCUGUAGGACCUGCCUUGUUGAUAGUGUUGUUAAGGAGUUAGAAACUAGGGCCUGUAGGACCUGCCUUGUUGAUAGUGUUGUUAAGAAGGUAGAAACUAGGGCCUGUAGGACCUGCCUUGGUGAUAGUGUAGUUAAGAAGGUAGAAACUAGGGCCUGUAGGACCUGCCUUGUUGAUAGUGUUGUUAAGAAGGUAGAAACUAGGGCCUGUAGGACCUGCCUUCGUGAUAGUGUUGUUAAGAAGGUAGAAACUAGGGCCUGUUGGACCUGCCUUGGUGAUAGUGUUGUUAAGAAGGUAGAAACUAGGGCCUGUUGGACCUGCCUUGGUGAUAGUGUUGUUAAGAAGGUAGAAACUAGGGCCUGUAGGACCUGCCUUGUUGAUGGUGUUGUUAAGAAGGUAGAAACGAGGGCCUGUAGGACCUGCCUUGUUGAUAGUGUUGUUAAGAAGGUAGAAACUAGGGCCUGUUGGACCUGCCUUGUUGAUAGUGUUGUUAAGAAGGUAGAAACUAGGGCCUGUUGGACCUGCCUUGUUGAUAGUGUUGUUAAGAAGGUAGAAACUAGGGCCUGUUGGACCUGCCUUGUUGAUAGUGUUGUUAAGAAGGUAGAAACUAGGGCCUGUAGGACCUGCCUUGUUGAUAGUGUUGUUAAGAAGGUAGAAACUAGGACCUGCCUUGUUGAUAGUGUUGUUAAGAAGGUAGAAACUAGUGCCUGUAGGACCUGCCUUGUUGAUAGUGUUGUUAAGAAGGUAGAAACUAGUGCCUGUAGGACCUGCCUUGUUGAUAGUGUUGUUAAGAAGGUAGAAACUAGUGCCUGUAGGACCUGCCUUGUUGAUAGUGUUGUUAAGAAGGUAGAAACUAGGGUCUGUAGGACCUGCCUUGUUGAUAGUGUUGUUAAGAAGGUAGAAACUAGGGCCUGUAGGACCUGCCUUGUUGAUAGUGCUGUUAUGAUAGAAACUAGGGCCUGCCUUGUUGAUAGUGCUGUUAUGAUAGAAACUAGGGCCUGCCUUGUUGAUAGUGCUGUUAUGAUAGAAACUAGGGCCUGUAGGACCUGCCUUGUUGAUAAUGUUGUUAAGAAGGUAGAGCAUCACUUUAUUAUGGACAGACUUCUCCCCAUCUUAGCUACUGUCGUAUCAAUAUGUUUUGACCAGGACAGUUUACAAUCCAGGGUUACACCAAGCAGGUUUAGUCACCUCAACUUGCUCAAUUUCCAUAUUAUUCAUUAUGCAAUUUAG
ensembl:lncRNA